rnacentral:lncRNA from 1 species
UUUGAUUUAAUAAAUGCUUUUCGUAUCUAAACCGUACUAAACUGAACAAAUCCCAUGCAUGCAUCACUUCGUGAACACUCUUGGAUUCUUUUGAGAAUUUUUCCUGUUGAACGGUGUGGGAGACCGUGCAAUUCAUUCACUGAGACCAACACCCAGACCAACCCCUUUGAUGUAUUUAAAAGGUACUUCAACGUCCUCAAUUCACACAUACGUUGCCUCUCACAGUCUCAAUUUCCCUUUGUUCAACAUACCUCUUUCCAUUAUCUGUAAAAAUGUGGCAUGCCAAUCCGGGGUUGUCACGA